rnacentral:lncRNA from 1 species
CUACUCCAUGUGUGGCGCCGGUCGUAUUUUAUUAGUAGAACCCAUGAUUACAGCAGACUAUAUACAGGCACAAAAGAACCAUCAGGGCUGAUGACAAAGGGCUUAGCGCGUACUUCCAAAUCUAAAUGACAGAUUGCAUAGUUCGUGGUACAUUUGGGACAACACUCAGGCUAAUUAGCUAAAGGACCGUUUAACUGGUUUGCUGCCCAAAAUUAGGACCAACAACGCCAGGACAAGCAGGUGGUUAGUGCCGGCGAGGAGCACCAAUGUGCAUCUGCUGAAUCUGUGGCUGAGCAGGUAGAUCUGCCGAUGUGGGGCUUGGUGCUCGAUCUCGGUGCCGGCAGGGAAAUGCUGCUCCCGGCGAGAUCACUGGUGGAGAGACGAAGCUGGAUGCACUGAUAGAGGCUGCUGCAAUCCGUGCCGGUGGGAGAGGCCAUGGCGACUCAGCUCCGGCAGGUACGUGUAACUGGAUCUCAUGAAUGAACAGAGUACAGCCUGCGGGCAUGGGGCAAAACAAGGUAAAUCUAGUAUCAGAAAGCACGUAUUAUGUUUGUGGAACUGAAAUCUUACAUUUUGUUGAAGCACUUGUAGAACCGGACUCCAGCCCGGGAGGGCCGGGACGACGAAGGUGACGACCUAGCCACCACAAUCAGGACAAGGAAUGAGCAGGAGUAUCUCCCUAGGGCGCGAGGAAGAAGAUGAGGAGGUCAUGACCGGCGAUCUGGUUUCUUGCGGCGCGUUGGUUGAAGAGAAUGAGGAGAGGAGAAGAGCAGGAAGGAUCUUGAGGAGGGGGUGGUUGGUGAGUUGCAGUAAAUAAGGGGCUGGUGUGGACGGCGCCGUUAGUGGGAUGGGGGCUGAGCCGUGGCCCUUGGUUGCAGGCCCGUCUGAGCCGGUUACUCUGGGAUGACGCCCGUGACAUUAAUUGGGGUAGGUAGGCGGGCCCCGCUCCGGAAAUAGAUUGGCUGAAUACAUAGGAAUAUACUAGCACAAAUGUCCGUGCGUUGCAACGGGGAGGAAAAUUAUGUGUGUUCAUCAAAAAGUUUACCAGAGCCACACGAUACAUUCCUAAGUUGCUACCUGGUGGCGGCAAAGAGGCGCACACCGGCAUUUAGAAGAAAAACAUUAUUAGCUGCACAUUAGUUAUGAAAGAAGCCUUGACACCCAGGGCAAGAAACACUUUUUU